rnacentral:rRNA from 1 species
CGAACGCUGGCGGCAUGCCUAAUACAUGCAAGUCGAACGAGAUCUUCGGAUCUAGUGGCGCACGGGUGCGUAACGCGUGGGAAUCUGCCCUUGGGUUCGGAAUAACGUCGGGAAACUGACGCUAAUACCGGAUGAUGACGAAAGUCCAAAGAUUUAUCGCCCAGGGAUGAGCCCGCGUAGGAUUAGCUAGUUGGUGAGGUAAAGGCUCACCAAGGCUACGAUCCUUAGCUGGUCUGAGAGGAUGAUCAGCCACACUGGGACUGAGACACGGCCCAGACUCCUACGGGAGGCAGCAGUAGGGAAUAUUGGACAAUGGGGGCAACCCUGAUCCAGCAAUGCCGCGUGAGUGAUGAAGGCCUUAGGGUUGUAAAGCUCUUUUACCCGAGAUGAUAAUGACAGUAUCGGGAGAAUAAGCUCCGGCUAACUCC